rnacentral:rRNA from 1 species
AACGAACGCUGGCGGCAGGCCUAACACAUGCCAGUCGAGCGCGCCCUUCGGGGUGAGCGGCGGACGGGUGCGUAACGCGUGGGAACGUGCCCUUUUCUACGGAAUAGCCUCGGGAAACUGAUAGUAAUACCGUAUACGCCCUUUGGGGGAAAGAUUUAUCGGAAAAGGAUCGGCCCGCGUUGGAUUAGGUAGUUGGUGGGGUAAUGGCCUACCAAGCCGACGAUCCAUAGCUGGUUUGAGAGGAUGAUCAGCCACACUGGGACUGAGACACGGCCCAGACUCCUACGGGAGGCAGCAGUGGGGAAUCUUAGACAAUGGGGGCAACCCUGAUCUAGCCAUGCCGCGUGAGUGAUGAAGGCCUUAGGGUUGUAAAGCUCUUUCAGCUGGGAAGAUAAUGACGGUACCAGCAGAAGAAGCCCCGGCUAACUCCGUG